UCGAUGGUUCGAAAGAAGCACUCACCAAAGGAAGAGCACUCAGUUGAAAAAAGAAAAAAAAUAAUAUCAAAAAAAAAUAACGAGCGAUUGAAAAAGAAAAGAAGUAAAAUGAACAAACACAGUGAAAAGAAUAUUGACAUUGGCUCUGAACCUAAAACUACUUGUUUUCAUUUUUGUUUGUGUUUACCACACCAUAACCCAAG
rnacentral:lncRNA from 1 species